AAACCAUGAUGAGGACACUACUGUAAUAAACCUUUAAAUCUAUCUCAUGCUUUGAAUAGUAAUUCUCCUUCUGCUUGGGCAAAGCUUGUGAUUUUAUUUCUCAAAU